UUGCAGUUAAAAAGCUCGUAGUCGGAUUUCAGUAUUAGGCCCUUCCUCCAAUACGGUUGCUAGUGGUCUUUACUUCCUUAACAGAAUCUUUCAUCUCAUUAAUUUGGGGUGUUUGGGGCCUGUUUCUUUUACUUUGAGAAAAUUAGAGUGUUCAAAGCGGGUUUUCGCCUGGAUAUUACUCUUGGAAUAAUAAUAUAGGACUUUGGUUCUUUUUUGUUGGUGACUUAGAACCGAAGUAAUGAUUGAUAGCGACAGUUGGGGUCAUUCGUACUAUGAAGCGAGAGGUGAAAUUCAUGGACCUUUGUAUGACGAACUACUGCGAAAGCAUUUGACUAGGAUGUUCCCGUUGAUCAAGAACGAAAGUUGGGGGAUCGAAGACGAUCAGAUACCGUCGUAGUCUCAACCAUAAACUAUGCCAGCUAGGGAUUGGAGGAAGAUCAUUUUACGUCUCCUUCAGCACCUUAUGAGAAAUCAAAGCAUUUGGGUUCCGGGGGGAGUAUGGUCGCAAGGCUGAAACUUAAAGGAAUUGACGGGAGGGCACCACCAGGAGUGGAGC
rnacentral:rRNA from 1 species